rnacentral:rRNA from 1 species
AGUCGAGCGGAGUAGAUAAGAAGCUUGCUUCUUUGAUACUUAGCGGCGGACGGGUGAGUAACACGUAGGCAACCUGCCCUCAAGUUUGGGACAACUACCGGAAACGGUAGCUAAUACCGAAUAGUUGUUUUCUUCGCCUGAAGGAAACUGGAAAGACGGAGCAAUCUGUCACUUGGGGAUGGGCCUGCGGCGCAUUAGCUAGUUGGUGGGGUAACGGCUCACCAAGGCGACGAUGCGUAGCCGACCUGAGAGGGUGAUCGGCCACACUGGGACUGAGACACGGCCCAGACUCCUACGGGAGGCAGCAGU